GACGAACGCUGGCGGCGUGCCUAAUACAUGCAAGUUGAGCGCUGAGGGUUGGUACUUGUCCCAACUGGAUGAGCAGCGAACGGGUGAGUAACGCGUGGGGAAUCUGCCUUUGAGCGGGGGACAACAUUUGGAAACGAAUGCUAAUACCGCAUAAAAACUUUAAACACAAGUUUUAAGUUUGAAAGAUGCAAUUGCAUCACUCAAAGAUGAUCCCGCGUUGUAUUAGCUAGUUGGUGAGGUAAAGGCUCACCAAGGCGAUGAUACAUAGCCGACCUGAGAGGGUGAUCGGCCACAUUGGGACUGAGACACGGCCCAAACUCCUACGGGAGGCAGCAGUAGGGAAUCUUCGGCAAUGGACGAAAGUCUGACCGAGCAACGCCGCGUGAGUGAAGAAGGUUUUCGGAUCGUAAAACUCUGUUGGUAGAGAAGAACGUGGGUGAGAGUGGAAAGCUCAUCAAGUGACGGGAACUACCCAGAAAGGGACGGCUAACUACGU
rnacentral:rRNA from 1 species